GAAAAAUUGUCUUCUGCAAAACUGGUCCCUGGUGCUGCUGAUCUAAAGGAAUACCCUGAAGAUGUAGCUCCUACUGUUGGAUUUUCAAAAAUUAACCUUAGACAAGGAAAGUUUGAAGUCACCAUCUUUGACUUGGGAGGUGGAAUAAGAAUUCGGGGAAUCUGGAAGAAUUACUAUGCUGAAUCCUAUGGGGUAAUAUUUGUUGUGGAUUCCAGUGAUGAAGAGAGAAUGGAAGAGACAAAAGAGGCUAUGUCAGAAAUGCUAAGACAUCCUAGGAUAUCGGGAAAGCCUAUAUUGGUGUAAGUAAUGUUAGCAUCAUUGUAAAUGUAGGGACGAUGGCAUUGGCCACUAAAGAAAU
rnacentral:lncRNA from 1 species